rnacentral:rRNA from 1 species
GGGCCUAAAUCCCAUCAGGUAGUUGGUGGGGUAAUGGCCUACCAAGCUUAAGACGGGUAGCUGGUCUGAGAGGAUGGUCAGCCAGACGGGGACUGAGACACGGCCCCGACUCCUACGGGAGGCAGCAGCAAGGAAUCUUGCGCAAUGGGCGAAAGCCUGACGCAGCGACACCGCGUGGGGGAAGACGGCUUUCGGGUUGUAAACCCCUUUUCUUGGUGAAGGGACGGUAGCCAAGGAAUAAGCCUCGGCUAACUACGUGCCAGCAGCCGCGGUAAUACGUAGGAGGCGAGCGUUAUCCGGAUUCACUGGGCGUAAAGAGCGCGUAGGCGGCCUUUUAAGUUGGUGGUGAAAGCUCCUGGCUCAACUGGGAGAGGUCCAUCAAAACUGGGAGGCUUGAGGACAGCAGAGGAGGGUAGAAUUCCCGGUGUAGCGGUGAAAUGCGUAGAU